CCUACGGGCGGCAGCAGUAGGGAAUCUUCCACAAUGGGCGAAAGCCUGAUGGAGCAACGCCGCGUGGGUGAAGAAGGUCUUCGGAUCGUAAAACCCUGUUGUUAGAGAAGAAAGUGUGUGAGAGUAACUGUUCACGUUUCGACGGUAUCUAACCAGAAAGCCACGGCUAACUACGUGCCAGCAGCCGCGGUAAUACGUAGGUGGCAAGCGUUAUCCGGAUUUAUUGGGCGUAAAGGGAACGCAGGCGGUCUUUUAAGUCUGAUGUGAAAGGCUUCGGCUUAACCGGAGUAGUGCAUUGGAUACUGGGAGACUUGAGUGCAGAAGAGGAGAGUGGAACUCCAGGUGUAGCGGUGAAAUGCGUAGAUAUAUGGAAGAACACCAGUGGCGAAAGCGGCUCUCUGGUCUGUAACUGACGCUGAGGUUCGAAAGCGUGGGUAGCAAACAGGAUUAGAUACCCUUGUAGUC
rnacentral:rRNA from 1 species